ACCUGGGUGGCUCAGUCGGUUGAGCAUCUGACUUCAACUCAGGUCAUGAUCUCAUGUCUCAUGAGUUCAAGCCCCACAUCAGGCU
rnacentral:tRNA from 1 species